rnacentral:rRNA from 1 species
AGAGUUUGAUCCUGGCUCAGGAUGAACGUUGGCGACGUGCCUGAGAUAUGCAAGUCGAGCGUUUCUUGAUCGCAAGAUCAGGAGAGCGGCGGACGGCUGAGUAAUGCGUAGGUACCUACCCCUAGGUGAGGAAUAGCCCCGAGAAAUCGGGGGUAAUACCUCAUAGUCCCCGCCUUUGGCGGGGUAAAGGACAUAACUGUUCGCCAAGGGAUGGGCCUUCGUCCUAUCAGGUAGUUGGUAGGGUAACGGCCUACCAAGCCUAUAACGGGUAGCUGGCCUAAGAGGGUGGUCAGCCAGAGGGGCACUGAGAUACGGGCCCCACUCCUACGGGAGGCAGCAAUCAGGAAUAGUCGGCAAUGGGCGAAAGCCUGACCGCGCGACGUCGCGUGUAGGAAGAAGCUCUUCGGAGUGUAAACUACUGUGAUAAAGGAAGAAGUCCCGCUUAUGGCGGGAUUGACGGUACUUUAUUAGAAAGGGGCCGCUAACUGCGUGCCAGAAGCGUCGGUAACACGUGGGCCCCAAACGUUAUCCGGUUUUACUGGGUGUAAAAGGUAGUGUAGGUGGUUCGAUGAGUUUCGGUUUAAAUACAAAGGCUCAACCUUUGGAGAGGCCGAAAUACUAUCGAUCUAGAGUUUUUUCAAGGGAGACUGGAACUCAGGGAGGAGUAGUGAAAUGCGUUGAUACCCUGGGGAACACCAGUGGCGAAGGCGAGUCUCUGGGAGAAAACUGACACUGAGACACGAAAGUUAGGGGAGCGAAGCAGAUUAGAGACCUGCGUAGUCCUAACUGUAAACGUAUGACUGCUAGCUGCAUGUCCUGACUUUUGUCACGACGUGUGGCGAAGGUAACCCGUUAAGCAGUCCACCUGGGGAGUACGGCCGCAAGGCUAAAACUCAAAGGAAUUGGCGGGGAGGCACACAACCAGUGGAACAUGUGGUUCAAUUCGAAACGAAACGAAAAACCUCACCAGGGUUUGACAUCUCAGCGUCCUAUUUUGCAGAAAUGCAAGAAAUUCGUAAGAAGGCUGGGACAGGUGCUGCAUGGCUGUCGUCAGCUCGUUCCGUGAGGAGUGCCCUUAAGUGGGACAACGAGCGCAACCCCUACCCUGUGUUAAAUCUGUCACAGGGAACUGCUCCUGCUUUGCGGGAGAGGAAGGAGGGGCAGACGUCAAGUCAGCAUGGUCCUUAUACCCUGGGCCACACACAUGUUACAAUGAAAAGCAACAACGGGUUUUGCUACCUAGCAAUAGGAGGCAAAUCCCUGAAAUCUUUUCUCAGUGGGGAUUGAGGUCUGCAACUCGACCUCAUGAACACGGAAUUGGUAGUAAUCGCGGAUCAGUCACGCCGCGGUGAAUACGUUCUUGCCUCUUGCACACACCGCCCGUCAAGCCAACAAAGUCGAUGUUAUCUGAAUCCUGGCGUAAGUCGAGAGAAGAUAAUGUCGGCGAUGGGGGUUAAGUCGUAACAAGGUAGCCGUUCUGGAAGGAGCGGCUGGAUCACCUCCUUUCU